AUUGAACGCUGGCGGCAGGCCUAACACAUGCAAGUCGAACGGUAACAGGAAGAAGCUUGCUUCUUUGCUGACGAGUGGCGGACGGGUGAGUAAUGUCUGGGAAACUGCCUGAUGGAGGGGGAUAACUACUGGAAACGGUAGCUAAUACCGCAUAACGUCGCAAGCCCAAAGAGGGGGACUUUCGGGCCUCUUGCCAUCGGAUGUGCCCAGAUGGGAUUAGCUAGUAGGUGGGGUAACGGCUUACCUAGGCGACGAUCCCUAGCUGGUCUGAGAGGAUGACCGGCCACACUGGAACUGAGACACGGUCCAGACUCCUACGGGAGGCAGCAGUGGGGAAUAUUGCACAAUGGGCGCAAGCCUGAUGCAGCCAUGCCGCGUGUAUGAAGAAGGCCUUCGGGUUGUAAAGUACUUUCAGCGGGGAGGAAGGGAGUAAAGUUAAUACCUGUGCUCAUUGACGUUACCCGCAGAAGAAGCACCGGCUAACUCCGUG
rnacentral:rRNA from 1 species